rnacentral:rRNA from 2 species
GGGUUGUGAGGUUAAGCGACUAAGCGUACACGGUGGAUGCCCUGGCAGUCAGAGGCGAUGAAGGGCGUGCUAAUCUGCGAUAAGCGCCGGUAAGGUGAUAUGAACCGUUAUAACCGGCGAUACCCGAAUGGGGAAACCCAGUGUGACUCGUCACACUAUCAUUAACUGAAUCCAUAGGUUAAUGAGGCGAACCGGGGGAACUGAAACAUCUAAGUACCCCGAGGAAAAGAAAUCAACCGAGAUUCCCCCAGUAGCGGCGAGCGAACGGGGAGGAGCCCAGAGCCUGAAUCAGCAUGUGUGUUAGUGGAAGCGUCUGGAAAGGCGCGCGAUACAGGGUGACAGCCCCGUACACAAAAGCGCAUGUGCUGUGAGCUCGAUGAGUAGGGCGGGACACGUGGUAUCCUGUCUGAAUAUGGGGGGACCAUCCUCCAAGGCUAAAUACUCCUGACUGACCGAUAGUGAACCAGUACCGUGAGGGAAAGGCGAAAAGAACCCCGGCGAGGGGAGUGAAAAAGAACCUGAAACCGUGUACGUACAAGCAGUGGGAGCACAGGUUUACCUGUGUGACUGCGUACCUUUUGUAUAAUGGGUCAGCGACUUAUAUUCUGUAGCAAGGUUAACCGAAUAGGGGAGCCGGAGGGAAACCGAGUCUUAAUUGGGCGUUAAGUUGCAGGGUAUAGACCCGAAACCCGGUGAUCUAGCCAUGGGCAGGUUGAAGGUUGGGUAACACUAACUGGAGGACCGAACCGACUAAUGUUGAAAAAUUAGCGGAUGACCUGUGGCUGGGGGUGAAAGGCCAAUCAAACCGGGAGAUAGCUGGUUCUCCCCGAAAGCUAUUUAGGUAGCGCCUCGUGAAUUCAUCUCCGGGGGUAGAGCACUGUUUCGGCUAGGGGGCCAUCCCGGCUUACCAACCCGAUGCAAACUGCGAAUACCGGAGAAUGUUAUCACGGGAGACACACGGCGGGUGCUAACGUCCGUCGUGAAGAGGGAAACAACCCAGACCGCCAGCUAAGGUCCCAAAGUCAUGGUUAAGUGGGAAACGAUGUGGGAAGGCCCAGACAGCCAGGAUGUUGGCUUAGAAGCAGCCAUCAUUUAAAGAAAGCGUAAUAGCUCACUGGUCGAGUCGGCCUGCGCGGAAGAUGUAACGGGGCUAAACCAUGCACCGAAGCUGCGGCAGCGACACUGUGUGUUGUUGGGUA